rnacentral:rRNA from 1 species
AGUGAACGCUGGCGGUAGGCCUAACACAUGCAAGUCGAACGGCAGCACAGUAAGAGCUUGCUCUUACGGGUGGCGAGUGGCGGACGGGUGAGGAAUACAUCGGAAUCUACUUUUUCGUGGGGGAUAACGUAGGGAAACUUACGCUAAUACCGCAUACGACCUACGGGUGAAAGCAGGGGAUCUUCGGACCUUGCGCGAUUGAAUGAGCCGAUGUCGGAUUAGCUGGUUGGCGGGGUAAAGGCCCACCAAGGCGACGAUCCGUAGCUGGUCUGAGAGGAUGAUCAGCCACACUGGAACUGAGACACGGUCCAGACUCCUACGGGAGGCAGCAGUGGGGAAUAUUGGACAAUGGGCGCAAGCCUGAUCCAGCCAUACCGCGUGGGUGAAGAAGGCCUUCGGGUUGUAAAGCCCUUUUGUUGGGAAAGAAAAGCAGCAGGUUAAUACCCCGCUGUUCUGACGGUACCCAAAGAGUAAGCACCGGCUAACUUCGUG